rnacentral:tRNA from 1 species
GCCUACAUAGCUCAGUUGGUAGAGCACUCCCUUGGUAAGGGAGAGGUCAUGGGUUCAAGUCCCAUUGUAGGCUC